AUUAAUAAGAAUAUGAUGUUGGUUCAGAUUAAGCGCUAAAUAAGGACAUGACACAUGCGAAUCAUACGUUUAUUAUUGAUAAGAUAAUAAAUAUGUGGUGUAAACGUGAGUAAUUUUAUUAGGAAUUAAUGAACUAUAGAAUAAGCUAAAUACUUAAUAUAUUAUUAAAAAAAAAUAAUUUAUAUAAUAAAAAGGAUAUAUAUAUAAUAUAUAUUUAUCUAUAGUCAAGCCAAUAAUGGUUUAGGUAGUAGGUUUAUUAAGAGUUAACCUAGCCAACGAUCCAUAAUCGAUAAUGAAAGUUAGAACGAUCACGUUGACUCUGAAAUAUAGUCAAUAUCUAUAAGAUACAGCAGUGAGGAAUAUUGGACAAUGAUCGAAAGAUUGAUCCAGUUACUUAUUAGGAUGAUAUAUAAAAAUAUUUUAUUUUAUUUAGUUCCGGGGCCCGGCCACGGGAGCCGGAACCCCGAAAGGAGAAAUAUUAAAUAUUUAUAAUAAUAAUAAUAAUAUAUAUAUAUAAAUUGAUUAAAAAUAAAAUCCAUAAAUAAUUAAAAUAAUGAUAUUAAUUACCAUAUAUAUUUUUAUAUGGAUAUAUAUAUUAAUAAUAAAAUUAAUUUAUUAUUAUUAAUAAUAUAUUUUAAUAGUCCUGACUAAUAUUUGUGCCAGCAGUCGCGGUAACACAAAGAGGGCGAGCGUUAAUCAUAAUGGUUUAAAGGAUCCGUAGAAUGAAUUAUAUAUUAUAAUUUAGAGUUAAUAAAAUAUAAUUAAAGAAUUAUAAUAGUAAAGAUGAAAUAAUAAUAAUAAUUAUAAGACUAAUAUAUGUGAAAAUAUUAAUUAAAUAUUAACUGACAUUGAGGGAUUAAAACUAGAGUAGCGAAACGGAUUCGAUACCCGUGUAGUUCUAGUAGUAAACUAUGAAUACAAUUAUUUAUAAUAUAUAUUAUAUAUAAAUAAUAAAUGAAAAUGAAAGUAUUCCACCUGAAGAGUACGUUAGCAAUAAUAAAACUCAAAACAAUAGACGGUUACAGACUUAAGCAGUGGAGCAUGUUAUUUAAUUCGAUAAUCCACGACUAACCUUACCAUAUUUUGAAUAUUAUAAUAAUUAUUAUAAUUAUUAUAUUACAGGCGUUACAUUGUUGUCUUUAGUUCGUGCUGCAAAGUUUUAGAUUAAGUUCAUAAACGAACAAAACUCCAUAUAUAUAAUUUUAAUUAUAUAUAAUUUUAUAUUAUUUAUUAAUAUAAAGAAAGGAAUUAAGACAAAUCAUAAUGAUCCUUAUAAUAUGGGUAAUAGACGUGCUAUAAUAAAAUGAUAAUAAAAUUAUAUAAAAUAUAUUUAAUUAUAUUUAAUUAAUAAUAUAAAACAUUUUAAUUUUUAAUAUAUUUUUUUAUUAUAUAUUAAUAUGAAUUAUAAUCUGAAAUUCGAUUAUAUGAAAAAAGAAUUGCUAGUAAUACGUAAAUUAGUAUGUUACGGUGAAUAUUCUAACUGUUUCGCACUAAUCACUCAUCACGCGUUGAAACAUAUUAUUAUCUUAUUAUUUAUAUAAUAUUUUUUAAUAAAUAUUAAUAAUUAUUAAUUUAUAUUUAUUUAUAUCAGAAAUAAUAUGAAUUAAUGCGAAGUUGAAAUACAGUUACCGUAGGGGAACCUGCGGUGGGCUUAUAAAUAUC
rnacentral:ncRNA from 1 species